UCCACGGUUUCUGCGACGCAGCUAACGCAUUAAGUGCCCCGCCUGGGGAGUACGAUCGCAAGAUUAAAACUCAAAGGAAUUGACGGGGCCCCGCACAAGCAGCGGAGCAUGCGGCUUAAUUCGACGCAACGCGAAGAACCUUACCAAGGCUUGACAUAUACAGGAAUAUGGCAGAGAUGUCAUAGCCGCAAGGUCUGUAUACAGGUGGUGCAUGGUUGUCGUCAGCUCGUGUCGUGAGAUGUUGGGUUAAGUCCCGCAACGAGCGCAACCCUCGUUCUGUGUUGCCAGCAUUAAGUUGGGGACUCACAGGAGACUGCCGGGGUUAACUCGGAGGAAGGUGGGGAUGACGUCAAAUCAUCAUGCCCCUUAUGUCUUGGGCUGCACGCAUGCUACAAUGGCUGGUACAAACGGCUGCGAUACCGCAAGGUGGAGCGAAUCCGAUAAAGCCAGUCUCAGUUCGGAUUGGGGUCUGCAACUCGACCCCAUGAAGUCGGAGUUGCUAGUAAUCGUAGAUCAGCAACGCUACGGUGAAUACGUUCCCGGGGCUUGUACACACCGCCCGUCACGUCACGAAAGUCGGUAACACCCGAAGUCAGUGGCCCAACC
rnacentral:rRNA from 1 species